AUGAACGCUGGCGGCGUGCCUAACACAUGCAAGUCGAACGGAGUCCAGCCUUUCAGCCCUUCGGGUCAAAGAGGGGAAGACUGAGUGGCGGACGGGUGAGUAACACGUGGGCAACCUGGCUCAUAGAGGGGGAUAACAGAGAGAAAUUUCUGCUAAUACCGCAUAAGCACACCCUGCCGCAUGGCAGAGGGUGAAAAGAGAAUCGCUAUGAGAUGGACCCGCGUCUGAUUAGCCAGUUGGCAGGGUAAGAGCCUACCAAAGCGACGAUCAGUAGCCGAUCUGAGAGGAUGAACGGCAACAUUGGGACUGAGACACGGCCCAAAAUCCUACGGGAGGCAGCAGUGGGGGAUAGUGCACAAUGGGGGGAACCCUGAUGCAGCGACGACGCGUGAGUGAAGAAGUAUUUCGGUAUGUAAAGCUCUAUCAGCAGGGAAGAUAAUGACAGUACCUGAAGAAGAAGCCCCGGCUAACUACGUG
rnacentral:rRNA from 1 species